CGGAGCCACUUCUAGUAACAUUUGGAGAAAGGCGUUGACACCUUCUAAAAUCAUAAAAUGUGGAUACAUUCAAUAAAAUAUUUAUUUAAAAAGUAACGUAGCCAUAAAUAUAAUACAAAAUAAAAAUUAUCCCGGAAGAAUAUAUCUUGAAGCUGACGCACGCCGUGUCAAAUUUGCAGAGCGCAAGAUGUCGGAAAAGAUGCUCGGAAGGCUUCUACAUCAUCGAGGAAAAAAAAAGAGGAGGCUAAUGUGGAUCUGGAAGGGAUGUUAUAUGGAGCAGGCAUCGCAGAUUGAAAAUGAAACCGUUCAAGAGAUCUGCUGCUUGCCGCGAAGGACCAGAAAAAUGAUUGCGCAGGAGAGGCUGUAUACUCGCCAUUUCUAAUUAAAAAAUAUUAAAAAAAUUAGUUUACACACUUUAAUAUGUGUACUAUAAAACCCUUAAAAGAAAUGUUCCGUUUCACUUAUUUUUCACCUAUAAAAAAUCGUUAAAAAGUACGAUUAUUUUCGGUUUCUACUAUGGUGUUACCCCUUAAAGUUAUGUUGCCUUAAUAUUAUUGGUGUAACUUAACCAAUAAAUAACAUAAUAACAACAGUUUUAUAACA